GAUGAAGAACGCAGCGAAAUGCGAUAAGUAAUGUGAAUCGCAGAAUUCAGUGAAUCAUCGAAUCUUUGAACGCACAUUGCGCCCGCCAGUAUUCUGGCGGGCAUGCCUGUCUGAGCGUCAUUUCAACCCUCAUGCCCCUAGGGCGUGGUGUUGGGGAUCGGCCAAAGCCCGCGAGGGACGGCCGGCCCCUAAAUCUAGUGGCGGACCCGUCGUGGCCUCCUCUGCGAAGUAGUGAUAUUCCGCAUCGGAGAGCGAUGAGCCCCUGCCGUUAAACCCCCAACUUUCCAAGGUUGACCUCAGAUCAGGUAGGAAUACCCGCUGAACUUAAGCAUAUCAAUAAGCGGAGGA
rnacentral:misc_RNA from 1 species